GAUGAUGUUGUACAGACAAGAGAUAA
rnacentral:piRNA from 1 species